UACGUAGGGUGCGAGCGUUGUCCGGAAUUACUGGGCGUAAAGAGCUCGUAGGUGGUUUGUCGCGUUGUUCGUGAAAAACUCACAGCUUAACUGUGGGCGUGCGGGCGAUACGGGCAGACUGGAGUACUGCAGGGGAGACUGGAAUUCCUGGUGUAGCGGUGGAAUGCGCAGAUAUCAGGAGGAACACCGGUGGCGAAGGCGGAUCUCUGGGCCAUUACUGACGCUGAGGAGCGAAAGCGUGGGGGAGCGAACAGGA
rnacentral:rRNA from 1 species